AUAGAUGUGAGGAGUUGGGAUCCUCCAGCAGUGGAAACAAGGAAACACUCGCUUAAAGAUCCACUAA
rnacentral:sRNA from 10 species